GAUGAACGCUGGCGGCGUGCCUAAUACAUGCAAGUCGAGCGAACGGAUGAGAAGCUUGCUUCUCUGAUGUUAGCGGCGGACGGGUGAGUAACACGUGGAUAACCUACCUAUAAGACUGGGAUAACUUCGGGAAACCGGAGCUAAUACCGGAUAAUAUUUUGAACCGCAUGGUUCAAAAGUGAAAGACGGUCUUGCUGUCACUUAUAGAUGGAUCCGCGCUGCAUUAGCUAGUUGGUAAGGUAACGGCUUACCAAGGCAACGAUGCAUAGCCGACCUGAGAGGGUGAUCGGCCACACUGGAACUGAGACACGGUCCAGACUCCUACGGGAGGCAGCAGUAGGGAAUCUUCCGCAAUGGGCGAAAGCCUGACGGAGCAACGCCGCGUGAGUGAUGAAGGUCUUCGGAUCGUAAAACUCUGUUAUUAGGGAAGAACAUAUGUGUAAGUAACUGUGCACAUCUUGACGGUACCUAAUCAGAAAGCCACGGCUAACUACGUGCCAGCAGCCGCGGUAAUACGUAGGUGGCAAGCGUUAUCCGGAAUUAUUGGGCGUAAAGCGCGCGUAGGCGGUUUUUUAAGUCUGAUGUGAAAGCCCACGGCUCAACCGUGGAGGGUCAUUGGAAACUGGAAAACUUGAGUGCAGAAAAGGAAAGUGGAAUUCCAUGUGUAGCGGUGGAAUGCGCAGAGAUAUGGAGGAACACCAGUGGCGAAGGCGACUUUCUGGUCUGUAACUGACGCUGAUGUGCGAAAGCGUGGGGAUCAAACAGG
rnacentral:rRNA from 1 species